ACAAGGUAAAAAUCUGUCGUUCUGCCCCUGAACAAGGCAGUUAAUCCACUGUUCCCCAGUAGGCCGUCAUUGUAAAUAAGAAUUUGUUCUUAACAUGCCUAGUUAAAUAAAGGUUCAAUUAAAAAAAAUGUAUAAAAAAAUGCUAGUGGACAUGGAAGGUCGUGUUAGCUAGCAUCAGAAUGCUAGUGUAGCAUCAGAAUGCUAGUGUAGCAUCAGAAUGCUAGUGUAGCAUCAGAAUGCUAGUGGAAAUGGACGGUCGUGUUAGCUAGCAUCAGAAAGCUAGUGCAGCAUCAGAAUGCUAGUGGAAAUGGAAGGUCGUGUUAGCUAGCAUCAGAAUGCUAGUGUAGCAUCAGAAUGCUUGUGGACAUGUGUGGAAUGCUAGCUGAAUGAUAUCAGGAAUAGAAGGUUGUGGGAAAUGAAGACUUUGUCCCCGGGUAAAGAGUGUCAAUUCAGUAAUCAGAUUGGCCCCUAUGAAGAAUGAGAGGUUUUGUAGACCAAUCAGAGAUAACUGAAUGAAACCUCUCCUGACUGACUGACGCUGCCUAGGACCAUUAGCUCUCUCUACUGAACGACACUUUCACUAAUCUUCCUUGUCUGUCACUCUUUCAUUUAGUCUCUCCAUCGCCCCUUCUUUCUCUGGGUUGGAUGAAGGAAGGAGGGAGGGAUUGGAGAGGCAGCGACAUCAUAGCAGACCAGGUGGUUUCUCACAUGGUGAUUUGAGGAAAGGAGACGGUCUGUCCUGCCGUCAUGAAGGACAUUAGAACAUUGGUUCAGCUCAUCCCAGAAAACACACCUCAUGUUCUCAACAAAGGACUGUGGAUGUAUCUGACUUGUUGUAACAGACUGGUUCAUUUUCUCUCUCUCUCUCUACAUUUGGUUUAUUCUAUUGAGGCCUCUGUCUGUGCCUCCCUCUCUUUCUCUCCACCCUCCCUCCCUCUCUUUCUCUCCACCCUCCCUCCCUCUCUUUCUCUCCACCCUCCCUCCCUCUCUUUCUCUCCACCCUCCCUGCCUGUCUUUCUCUUCACCCUCCCUCCCUCUCUUCAUCUCUCCCUCCAGGCUCAGGUCAACAUUAUAUAGCAGUAAUAAAGUCUGUGCUUGGUGCUGAGCCCAGGUGUGAGGUAAUGGUCUCUCAGAGGUAGCUGUAGAGGAGAGUCUGAGAGACAGGACAGAGGUGAGACGAUGAGUUAG
rnacentral:lncRNA from 1 species